AAAGAAAAAGACCUUAAACAAGCCAUUUCUGUCAAGAACCAAAUCCUCUCCUCUCCUUCAAAAUCUCUUCCGCUUUCCUCCAUCUCCGUCCUCAAACCCCUCCUAAACCUCCCCACCACAGCCCUUAAGUUCUUCCAAAAAUACCCAACUCUUUUUACCCAGUUCCAGCCCUCUGCGUCGCUCCCUCUCCACGUCAAGCUCACCCCUCAGGCUCUCUCAAUCCACAAAGAAGAACAAGAGAUCCAUAAUUCUCCAA
rnacentral:misc_RNA from 1 species